rnacentral:rRNA from 1 species
CUAAGAAUAUUCCACAAUGGACGAAAGUCUGAUGGAGCGACGCCGCGUGGAUGAUGAAGGCCGAAAGGUUGUAAAAUCCUUUUAAACUGGAAGAAUAAUCAUGGUAGGGAAUGACCGUGAGGUGACCGUACAGUUUGAAUAAGCAACGGCUAAUUACGUGCCAGCAGCCGCGGUAACACGUAAGUUGCGAGCGUUGUUCGGAAUUAUUGGGCGUAAAGGGCAUGUAGGCGGUUUUGAAAGCUUGAUGUGAAAUCCCACAGCUUAACUGUGGAACUGCAUUGAGAACUACAAGACUAGAGUUACUGAAGGGAAACUAGAAUUCCAAGUGUAGGGUGAAAUCUGUAGAUAUUUGGAAGAAUACCAAUGGCAAGGCAAGUUUCUGGCAGAUAACUGACGCUGA